UCUCUCUCUCUCUCUCUCUCUCUCUCUCUCUCUCGUACUCCAACUGCCACCGCUCCGCCUCCUCUUUUCGCAACAUUGACGCAAUGUAUAAAUGCUGGAACAAAAGGACAACUUCCUUGAAGCUUGGCGUAAUUGCAAUAAUAGAGAUAUAGAAGGGCUUUAGUGACAUACUGAUGGGUCCGGCGUUCUACCGGAAUAUCUUUCCCACCGCUUCACUGGCUCGACGUACACGUAAAACGGAUUUGCACUUUCCCAGGUUAUUCCAAGCCUGAAGUAAGUAUCAUAAACCAGCCUUUUCUUUUCCAUACCCAGUCUCUCCAGCUCCGCGCUCGCGCUCCCCUGCUUCAUGAGAGGAAAUACGACGGAGCGAAGCUUUGUUGUUGAGUUGCCAUUCACGGUGCGUUUUCUCGUGUUUUGGCCGUGCGAUUUAAAUGUUUGAGGACGAAAGUUGCCGUGUUGUUUUACGAUUCAUUAUCAAGCUUAUCUGAAAUCCAUAUAGGCUUAUGUUUUAGCGGAGGUGGUAAACAACCACAGCCGCACAGUUGUUAUUAGGUCUGAAAUGAAAAGGGCUAGUUUUUUGAAUGAAUGCUUAUUUGUGUUUCUUGAAGGGUUUCAACAAAAGGCGAUGGAUGUGCUCUAGCUCGCGCGCGGGGGGGGUGGGGGGGGGGGGUGUUGAAGUAGAAGUCGCCUAAUGUCAAUGACACUUUCCACGAUUAAUUAAUUUCGUGGAAUCGCAAAGGUUGAAUAGCAUAUCAAAAGAGCGGCUCGAGCGCGUAUACAUACACACAUCAUAAAAAAAAACUGUAGUGAAUGCCAAGCAGUGAAGUGCCGGGUUUUAUUAUGUUCAUCUACACUAAAACUGUAUUCCGCUUCCAUUCCGCCGCUCCAAAAUUAUACGAGGAUGUGUUGUGCGUCUCAAAACCAAUAUAUUCUCACAGGUUGCUCGUUCUCACUGCUUAGUAUGAACAGGCGCGUUAUAUUUCCGCGACCAAACGGUGCCUGCGCUACUGCUGUCAAUGCCGAUCCUAUACUUUGCGAACAAAGGACCGGGGGAGAAUUUCGUGAGGUGGAGGACGACAGUAAAAGAACGGGUUGACUGUUUACAAUAAUAACAGGAUAGCAGUGACGUCGAGUGAUAGACAGCGCUCUCAGCCAGAGGAGAAACUUCUGAGGCAUCAACAACAUUCUAAAUUUGGACAGGGGUUACAUCAUCGAAGUUAAAGCUGCUGGGGGGCGGGACUUCCGGUUAGAUUUGAGUUCGUACCGCUGAAGCGGCUGCCUUUUCUGUUGUGUCUUUGUAUCUGUCCGUCGCUACACAGUCGCCUCCCUUUUUUCACUGCCACAAGCAGAGAAAUGCAUGAAACAUUUUGACCGCUUGCUGCGCUGGACGUAUGAAAAUGUUUCGAGGUGCUUGUAAUAACGGCGUGGAUGUAUUGUGUGGACCGAACUCACCACAUUCAAAUGAUCAAAACCUUACCGUGACCCAAGCCAGCUUAAAAGAAGUAAUGAACUUAUAUAUUAUGACUUAAGCUAUCCAAAGAGGGCGUUUGUAUCGGACUGUGCAUCAUCUCUGUCAAAACGUGUGGUUUCGUGCUGGUGCUCUUCAUAAAAUCGCGUAAUGAUAGAUAGUGGUAUGCCAUAAAUUAGACAGGGUUGAUGAAAUACCAUGUAAUGACUUGCUACAAAGUCAAGACAGUUCACUAUCACAUGAAAUUACUACAUAUAAUCACUGAAUGAAUAUCACUCGUAUGUCAUAAUAAAUACAUGAUGAUAAAUUUACUGAAACUGUAUAGCCAUUUCACCCCGUUGCAUGGUAUUAGCAUAUAUUUAUCUAUUAUGACUGGUGCAAAAUUUAUUGGCUAUAAUGCCAGAAACUAAAUUUCAGAUAAAGUGUGUUUGUGUGAAAUGACUUGUUUGCUUUGCUAACAGGUUCUGUGAGUUGAUGUCAGAUCUUAUAGGAAAAACCUGACCUAUUUAAACCUAUUUUGUGUUCUUACUCUAAGUGGUUUAUAUAUUCUAUAAAGCAUUUAAUUAGAAAGGUUUUGUGUGUGUGUGUGUAUUGUAAAGCUAUGGGAUCAGAGACCAUUCACUUUAAGAUCUCUCCUGCUUUGGGUCACUAAUAAAUGAUGUUAAACCAAACAAACCAGCAUGAGUUAGUGGCUGUGUCUUGUUAGGCCGGCCCACUUAACAGGGGUCGAAGGUUGCUGUUGUAUUCUCAGACUUGACUUGCAGGCAUCUAUUGGCUUUUGAUGGAUGUUGUUACUUAAGUGUGCUCUGGCCUCUGUAAAAGUGGGGGCUGUCCCCUCACAUGCUCCCACCCCCUCCCUCAUACUAAAGAGAUCACAGGGGUGCAGCUGCUUCAGACAGCUUUGGGGUGGGGUGGGGGUCCGAGACCCUUCAAUGAGAGAACAAAACCCUUUCAUAAACACACACACUCAAGUUCACCCCUUACAACUGCCCCUAUUUUCACACCCCUAAAAAAAGGUUUGAAAAGUGGAGGGUGCCAGAGUGCACUGGGUGCACAGCACAUGUCCUUAUAAGAACAUAGCUAAUUACUUAAAUGUUAGGAUCAUGAAUUCGAAUAAACGGAAAGGCAUGUUUUCUUUUCUGUAUUUUUUUCUGCAUUACGUGGCUUGAUUUGUGACUCAUUUCUUUCAAAUUUAUCAGAAAUAUUAUAUAUGAAUGAGUAAGGCAACAGGUCAAGGGUUUAAUGUAAUGCAAGAGUGAGAAUAAUCAGAUAUUGCAUACAACAAAACACAAAAUUUCCACUUUCAGUGAUCCAGCAAUUGUAGUCUGCCACAACCUAGUUUGCUGACUCAGCAAAUUUUCAGCUUAUUUUUUUUUCUUUUACUCUGGUGUCCUCUUCGACUCCAUCAAAUUGCAAAUUGCAAAACAAAACCACACAUCUGUUUAAAGAGAAGACAGAUAUAUUCUUCUCACACCAACAGGAAACUCAAAUAAAAAGUUAAUCAAAUAAACAUUCUGUAUUUUUUCAUUGAGUGUACUGAAUGUAAUUUGCAGCCCUGCAGUGUGUAUAUUUCAAGAGUUGUUUAGGAUGAAAUAUGAAGGCAGAAAGUUUGAUUCAGCAAUUCAAGCUAUGAAUGGAGAGUGUGUUAAAGUUCUGUAGCAACCUCUUGUUUGUCACACUUGCAUUAUAAGGUGAUACACAACCUAUCACAGAAAUUUAAAAUUAGUCAGUAAUGAUGUAGCUUGCUGUAUAAAAAGGGCCUUAAAUAUAUGGCUGCAUUUAUUGUUGGUAUGUUUUCCAAGUGAAAAAGCUCUAUGUAUGUACAGUAUAAGGGACUUUAAAAUUGUGCAUUUGUUUAUUCAUAUAUACUUCCAAAAGCGUCAUGCUUCAUGUGUUUGGCUGUUAUUCAUGCUGUAUUAGCUCAACAUCUUUUAAUAUAGCUAAUUACACAGCCCUGUAAUAUUUACAGGCAAUCUAACAAUAACAAAGUUGAGGUACGUGAUAAUGUAGAUUUGGACAUCUAAUAUAUACAACUGUAAAAUGUGAAUUAUUAAUAUAUUCAGAUCAUAAAACAAGCUUUAUUGAAACAUGUAGCUAAGAUUAUCAGUAGUACAUAUCUAUUGGCAGUAAGGUGUCAUAGGUGUAAUGUAUAUUCAGUCGUCUUAUUAGAGCCUUGAUACAGCUGCAUAUGAAUGUUAGUUAGUAAUAAAUCACCCAAACUACAAGAAAUGGGGUAACUCUUGUGCUGGUAUCUUCUACUACAGAGUAUCUGCGUGUGGAUAAGUGGGCAGCAUUAAGAUUUGGGCUUUCAAGUGUGUCACAAAGCAGUUGCCGAGGAAAAACCAGGUCAUAUCUCCCUCUCUUUCUGAGCAGAAUGGAUAUUUUACAACACCACUGAGACUGAGCUAUCAGUUUGCAUAGGGCGUAUACAGAAGAACACCUUACAUAAGUUUCUUUAUAGGGAGCUGGCAGGGAAGUAGUCGAUGAAAUAGCUUAAAUGACAAGCAUCAGAUAGCCAAGGGCUACUUUUUAUUUUUCGAGGCUUCUUCUGUCCUUAUCUGUCCCGAUUUGGGUGCUUCCCCUCAAUUGGCGGAUGCACACUGGAUUCUUCCCCUCUAAGCACGCGCACGUCUUUAAACGUGUAGUUUCACAGAAUAAAACACUGUUUCGCGUCGCUUUGACGGUGAUGAAAAAAAAAACUCCUUUACAGUAAAAUCUGUUUAUCUCCCACCUUCAAAACCGCUCUCCAAGUCCAUGUUCCCGGCAUGCACACGCGAGUUGGGGGCGGCUCUUAGCGAUUUGAAUGAGGAGAGUCACUUUAGGCGCCAUUUUCGAGUAAGCGGCGAUAACAUCAACACUGAGCGCGCGCGCAUAGAGGGACAGCGCGCGCGACGCUUCGUCUUAAAAAAUAACGCUUAUUAUCCAAAUGCAGGAAAAACGGCACGCUCGAAACCGCGUUUAGAGAGUAAAAUCGCCUGCGAUGUAGAGUCGACGAGCACAGAAGUGACCAAUACGAGCCGACUGUGGAGCCGAAGGAGAAAAGGGGGCUAUCGCUCAGCUGCGUAUGUGGAAAACCUGCCAUUUUUAAAAAAUAAUAUAUAAAAAUAACGCCCGAUGCGGGGAAAAAUAUAGAAAAAUUCUGGAAAAUAGCAGAGGGUCUUAGGAUUGGGAUUCAGCGCGGCGGUGGUGAAGAUUGUGUCGUUUUAUUGUUUUUUGACGUCGCGUUUUGAGCGGGAGUAACGGACGAGCCGCUGGCGCAGAUACACGCAGUUCAGUCCGAGUCUGUGCUGCAUCAGACUCUCAACUCAGAUUAAUGAAGAGACAUCAGCCUUUUUAGCCGGUUGCGAAACGCGGAGGGUGUCUGUGGGGCGGUGUGGACGCGCGUGCGCUCGGCGCGGGGCCUGUCGGUACUGUAGCAGCACAGAAUGGUUUGUGAGUUAUAACGGGGGUGCAGGCCGUACUGUGCUGCGGCAAGAACGACAGGACAGACGCGCACUUCACAUUCAAACGAGUGAAAAGACGACAGCAGCAGCAAGACUACGUGUGCCGGUGAGCCUCCUGAACUUGGCCGUGUGACUGACUGGCUGCCUGGCUGUAGCAGCACGUAAAUAUUGGAGUCAAAGCACUAGCGAAUCCUCCAGUAUUGACCGUGCUGCUGGAGUUAGGCGGGCCGUUUACCGUCUGCGGGGGCCUCUGCGCUUCGGGAUUCCUCAUCAGGAAAGCACAAGAAGAUUAACGACUGACUAAUAACAUACUGUCCAAAUGCAGGAUUUCUGAACGCUUUUAUUCUGGGAACGGAUGAGAUGGAAUUUGAUAAAACAUCAAAUAAGCUGUAUAAUUGUUUAUGUAAUUUCAGUUUAAAUGAGUCAGAUGCUUCUCUAAAAGUGCUUGGAGCUCGUUGAUACAGUUUAUGUACAUGGAAAAUGCAAUAAAGGAAAAUAAAAUUAAAAAACAUUCAAAUCACAACGAUUGCAUCAAGGCAAAUUAAUUGUGCAGAGUCGCGUUGCGCGCCAAUUCUGCAGUUUAUGUCAAAUACAUAAAUCUGCCAGAUUUCUCACACCAAGUUCUAAUAAAAAUAUCUAGACUAUAA